rnacentral:lncRNA from 1 species
AUGAAUCACGCCCGUGGAGGGUGGGAAAGCCUGGGACCUAGUCUAUUUAUGCAGAAGGACAACUCUAGGAGUCAACAGUCCCGGUUAAAUAAAGCAGGAGCUGCACCAUCCCACUUAAAAACCAGGCAGGACGGGAGCGGCCAGCUUGAUCCUGCCACCGAUGUAAUGCAGGUGGACCGGAGCUCACCUUGCUGGGAACCCUGGAGGGAGACGCUGGCUGCUGAAGAAUCCCUGGGAGGCCAGACCCUGACUCACGCAGCUGUGUGACCCCAGACAAGUUACUCAACUCCUCUAGCCCUUGGUUGCCAUGGAAACAACAACAGGACCUAUACUUCUGAGGUUCUGUGCACGAGGCCCCGCGUGUUCACUGCACUCUGCAGCCAUUCCUGGUGUGAGGGUGGUGUAGUUCCAACACCAAGAACGGACCACUGGAACUUUCCCUUCUCCUCUGGGUGUCCCUCAACCCUGGGGGAAUGGGGACGGUGGCUGGCUGAUCCCCAGACACCUCCCCCAGGACUACCAAUCUUAGAUUUACAAAGUUGCCAAGGAAAGAAAAAACUGCAAGCCGAAAGAAGGAAUGAUCCCAGGAACACUGCAGAGGCCUUCAGACGCAGCCAGGAGCCCAAGGGGAAGCCUGCGGUGGUGGCUUGUAAGUUGUUGGUGACAGGCCACUCACAACCAGGUCAAAGGGAGCCUCAUGCAGAUGUAAGGUACUGCUGUGACUCUGGCACCAAGAAAAGAGCAGAAGCAGGUGUGCCCAAGUGUUGCCAUGGAGGACAGUGAUUCUCUCUACUAGAAAACAGCUGCUUGACAAAGUAAAAGUGCUUCCUA